rnacentral:rRNA from 1 species
GCCUACGGUCAUACCACCCUGAAAGCGCCUGAUCUCGGAAGCUAAGCAGGGACGGGUUUGUUUAGUACCUGGAUGGGAGACCGCCUGGGGAUACCAGGUGUUGUAGGCU